CUCUUGAGUCCCAAGGAAGCGACUUGGAGCCAAGCAAGAUUGGUACCUGCAACUGGUUCCCAGAUGAGGCGCAUGGGCCCCUGUGCAAAGCCGGAAGCAGCACUGGGUGCUUGGACAGAGGGAAACAGGGAAAGUGCAAACUUCAAAGCACCAAACAGCUUCUCUUAGACUGUGUCUAAACACGAGAGCAGUGUCAAGCCUGGCCCUUCUGAUGACUACUCUCCGAGCCAGCUUCAUCUCUUCAGUCAUGCCAGCGUCUCCAGGGGGGCAACCAGAGAACUGUGGGAAGAGGAAUUGUUUUCCAUCCCUCCCUGGCUCUCCUCCAAAGCAGAGCUGCCCUCUGGGGAGACUGAUGUGAGCUGAUAAGCAGUGUCUGGGGAGAAAUUCUUGGCACCGAUUCCAUGUGGCUGAGCUCUUUAAAAGGCCAAGCUCCUGGGCUUGGGGCUGUAGCAUAGCUUCGCAUGCACGAGGCCCUGGGUUUAAUUACCAGCACCGCAGGGGGAGAAAAGACAUCCAUGUUCCUGCGAGCCUCACCAAAUCUGGCCUGUCGUGAGCAAGGCCUACAGACAAGAAGGCUGAGGCCUAGGGCUUCAUAUUGCAUGUCUGAAGGACACAGAAGAUGAACAGUGAGCAAGGGUCUAAACCC